GACGAACGCUGGCGGCGUGCUUAACACAUGCAAGUCGAACGAUGAAGCCGGAGCUUGCUCUGGUGAAUUAGUGGCGAACGGGUGAGUAACACGUGAGUAACCUGCCCUUGACUCUGGGAUAACUGCGGGAAACUGUAGCUAAUACCGGAUACGACCCUCGGAGGCAUCUCCUGGGGGUGGAAAGAAUUUCGGUCAAGGAUGGACUCGCGGCCUAUCAGCUAGUUGGUGGGGUAAAGGCUCACCAAGGCGACGACGGGUAGCCGGCCUGAGAGGGUGACCGGCCACACUGGGACUGAGACACGGCCCAGGCGCCUACGGGAGGCAGCAGUGGGGAAUAUUGCACAAUGGGCGCAAGCCUGAUGCAGCAACGCCGCGUGAGGGAUGACGGCCUUCGGGUUGUAAACCUCUUUUAGCAGGGAAGAAGCGAAAGUGACGGUACCUGCAGAAAAAGCACCGGCCAACUACGUGCCAGCCGCCGCCGUAA
rnacentral:rRNA from 1 species